CUUACGUCAUCAUCUUCACCGAUGGACCGAUGCGGCGGGCUCACAUCUAUUUAGACUAUUUUGUUAUGUAAACAAAUCUGAAGGAUUUGUUUAUAUUUGAUAAUCGGGGCAGUUUUUAAGAAAGAACCGGGCAGUCAAGCUUUAGAUGUCGAGGGUUAAAGUACGUUUGUUGUAAUAAAGCGUAUUAUUGUGAAUUUAGUGUUUUAAUCAAACUAAAAAGACAGAUUAACAGUCGCUAAUCUAUCAUCAGAAGUGGGAUAAAGGAUAUCUUCUCGUGAAUUAUUUCCGGAAGAAAGGACCUAAAAAAAAAAAUAAAUUUUUUUUUGUGUUUCUUUGUGAACGAACAAUGGCAGACAAUAGUGAAAAACGCGACCGCGCAGUGAGUCCGAACGUUGUGAACAUUACCAAAAGUGCAUCGGAGAGAGAUUAGUAGCAAGAAAGUAACAACAGAUUCCAAAAACAAAACAUGGAAAUUUUAUCGACAAUGGCCAACGCCCAAACUACUCAAGCAACAUUGAAGAUGGCUGCGCAGAAGGUUUAAGUGUGGCUGCAGCGCAGUUUCGACUUGUAAGAUUUAGAAAUUGCAUUUGAGGAAUAUGAUUUGAAUUUGUCAGGAAUGGACGAGUGGGUUACGAAAGAAAUAAAAGAACAACCGAAUGCCGUUUGAUCUCAUAAACUCUUCAUCAAAUUAUCAGAGCGCCAUCGUUAAAGCCCUUGGACCACUUAAAGACGAUAUUGCGUUUGUUUAUGUUGAUGAUGUGUUGUGCCCUCUCGACCCAUUCAAGAAUGUCUUAAGAACUUAAGAAAGGACAUUGACGCCCUUAAAUAUACAAAAAUGUAACUUUUUCCAAACAUCUGUGAAAUAUUUAGGUGUGAUCGAAAAAGGACUGACUGGAUAUUUUAGACAUCUUGUGAAAAACUUUGGAACUUUAACAGCACCGAUAUUUACACUGUUACGUGAGGGAAAAUCUUUUGAAUGGACAUGUAAAUGUGAAAAUGUGCGAUUGACUUCUUAUCCGAUUUUCAACAUUUUUGAUCUGGAAUUGUCAACCGAACUACAUACAGAAGCAAGUUCGUUAGGAUUAGAUGUCGCUGUUAGCUGUCGAAUAGAGGAAAGUUGAAACCAAAGUAUCACGGACCCUUUGAGGUAACGCAUUGUUUACCUAAUGAGAGGUACGCACUCCGAAGGAUUGGCAGCCGAGGUAGAACUACAACAGCAGCGCAUGAACAGUUACGAACCUGGCCAGAUACAGAAAUUCUAUAAGGUAUGAUGGAUAUAGAUUUAUUUAAUAAGAUUGAUGUGUGAAUGUGUGUAAAGGUCCCUGCAUAGUAGGCUGUUUAAGGUCCCUGUGUAUCAGGCUAUGUGUAAAGGUCCCUGCUCGGCAGGCUAUUUUUAAGGUCCCUGCUCUGCAGGCUUAGAUUGUUGUGUUCUGGGUCUGUGAGACAAGCGGAUAAUAGACCUGGUAGUGGUUGAACCGCCUCUGAGCUCCUGGCUAGAAUAUGGUAUCUUUUGAUAGCACUUGAGAGACAUGGGUGUAACAGACCUGUUGAUGGUUGAGCCGCCUCUGUGCUUCUAGUGGUUGUUAACUGUGCCACAUAACAGUCUAUUUUGUUAAAUGAAAUAAGGUUUAGGCUUAGUUCUUCGAAUAUAUUUUGAGCUUGUACUGCUGUUAUAAUGUUUACAGAUUACCGGUGUCAGGUGAAUCUUUGAAAAAACUGCGCAAGGUGCGAGGACGCCCCAAUGUCAGGAAGGCCGUGUUAGCUUACGUCAUCAUCUUCACCGAUGGACCGAUGCGGCGGGCUCACAUCUAUUUAGACUAUUUUGUUAUGUAAACAAAUCUGAAGGAUUUGUUUAUAUUUGAUAAUCGGGGCAGUUUUUAAGAAAGAACCGGGCAGUCAAGCUUUAGAUGUCGAGGGUUAAAGUACGUUUGUUGUAAUAAAGCGUAUUAUUGUGAA